rnacentral:lncRNA from 13 species
GCAUGGCUGUGUUCCAGUAAAAGUGUAUUUAUGGACACUACAAUUUGAAUUUCAUAUAACAUUCAUGUGCUGUGAAAUAUUAUUUUAAAACUUCAUUUUUUUUAAAUGGUAAAAACUAUUCUUAGGGCUAGGCAUGGUGGCUCAUGCCUGAAAUCCUAGCACUUUGGGAGGCUGAGGCAGGGAAGGAUCACUUGAGCCCAGGAAGUCGAGGCUGCAGUGAGCCAUGAUUGCACUAUGGCACUCCAGCCUAGGUUACAGAGUAGAACUCUGUCUCAAAGUGAAAAACCAAAAACAAUUCUUAGCUUGCGAGUCGUAAAACUCAGGCAACAAGCCUGAUUUGGUCUGUGGGCCAUAAUGCUCCUCGAGGACACCUCUGGAAUUCUAUCUCUCUGUAACUGACAACUGUCUUUCUUUUCUUUUUUUUUAAUUGAGAUGGAGUCUCCUCUGUUACCAGGCUGGAGUACCGUGGCAUGCUCUUGGCUCACUGCAACCUCUACCUCCUGGGUUCAAGCGAUUCUCCUGCCUCAGCUUCUUGAGUAGCUGGGACUACAGGCUGUACAGCAAUCAUAGUGGCAGCUGCUUCCGGGGAGGCCUUAAGCAGCUUUGACUCAUGGCAGAAGGCAAGGCAGAAACAGGUUGUCUUCACAUGGCCGGAGCAGAAAGAAGAGAGAGCUCUUUCUCUUUCUGGGAUGGGGCUGCAGGAGAAGAAAUAAAAAGUGAAAAAAACUGAAGCUCAGCUGCCACCAUCAGAGACCCCUCUACUGCACGGACUUAUUCGCUCUAUCACCGGAUUUCCUUAACCGAAGGGCUACAUUGCAGGGCAAGGCUCCGUAAUAAG